rnacentral:snRNA from 1 species
AUUGCUUCUUGGCCUUUUGGCUAAGAUCAAGUGAAACACUAUCAAUUCAAACUAUGAUCUGAGAGGUGAUUUGAGAUCACCUUUGAAACAUCAUUGAAUUCAUUUUUUUCACAGAUGUCUAGCAAAG